rnacentral:rRNA from 1 species
ACACGACUACAUUAGAUACCCCUGUAGUCCUAGCCGUAAACGAUACUCGCUAGGUGUCGGCCACGGUGCGACCGUUGUCGGUGCCGUAGGGAAGCCGUGAAGCGAGCCACCUGGGAAGUACGGCCGCAAGGCUGAAACUUAAAGGAAUUGGCGGGGGAGCACCGCAACGGGAGGAGCGUGCGGUUCAAUUGGAUUCAACGCCGAAAAACUCACCAGGAGCGACGGAUAUAUGAAGGUCAAGCUGAUGACUUUACCUGAUUUUCCG